rnacentral:rRNA from 1 species
AGACCCGAAACCCGGUGAUCUAGCCAUGGGCAGGUUGAAGGUUGGGUAACACUAACUGGAGGACCGAACCGACUAAUGUUGAAAAAUUAGCGGAUGACCUGUGGCUGGGGGUGAAAGGCCAAUCAAACCGGGAGAUAGCUGGUUCUCCCCGAAAGCUAUUUAGGUAGCGCCUCGUGAAUUCAUCUCCGGGGGUAGAGCACUGUUUCGGCUAGGGGGCCAUCCCGGCUUACCAACCCGAUGCAAACUGCGAAUACCGGAGAAUGUUAUCACGGGAGACACACGGCGGGUGCUAACGUCCGUCGUGAAGAGGGAAACAACCCAGACCGCCAGCUAAGGUCCCAAAGUCAUGGUUAAGUGGGAAACGAUGUGGGAAGGCCCAGACAGCCAGGAUGUUGGCUUAGAAGCAGCCAUCAUUUAAAGAAAGCGUAAUAGCUCACUGGUCGAGUCGGCCUGCGCGGAAGAUGUAACGGGGCUAAACCAUGCACCGAAGCUGCGGCAGCGAACGUAUCACCCAAGACAACUUUACGGAGUUGACGAUUGACGGAGCGAAGCGACGUCAAAGCGUUCAUUAAAGUCGAGUUGGCUUAGGGAUACGUUCGUUGGGUAGGGGAGCGUUCUGUAAGCCUGUGAAGGUGUGUCGUGAGGCAUGCUGGAGGUAUCAGAAGUGCGAAUGCUGACAUAAGUAACGAUAAAGCGGGUGAAAAGCCCGCUCGCCGGAAGACCAAGGGUUCCUGUCCAACGUUAAUCGGGGCAGGGUGAGUCGACCCCUAAGGCGAGGCCGAAAGGCGUAGUCGAUGGGAAACGGGUUAAUAUUCCCGUACUUGGUGUUACUGCGAAGGGGGGACGGAGAAGGCUAUGUUGGCCGGGCGACGGUUGUCCCGGUUUAAGCGUGUAGGUGUGUGUUCUAGGUAAAUCCGGUUCACUUUAACACUGAGGCGUGACGACGAGGCACUACGGUGCUGAAGCAACAAAUGCCCUGCUUCCAGGAAAAGCCUCUAAGCAUCAGGUAACACGAAAUCGUACCCCAAACCGACACAGGUGGUCAGGUAGAGAAUACCAAGGCGCUUGAGAGAACUCGGGUGAAGGAACUAGGCAAAAUGGUGCCGUAACUUCGGGAGAAGGCACGCUGACACGUAGGUGAAGUGAUUUACUCAUGGAGCUGAAGUCAGUCGAAGAUACCAGCUGGCUGCAACUGUUUAUUAAAAACACAGCACUGUGCAAACACGAAAGUGGACGUAUACGGUGUGACGCCUGCCCGGUGCCGGAAGGUUAAUUGAUGGGGUCAGCGUAAGCGAAGCUCCUGAUCGAAGCCCCGGUAAACGGCGGCCGUAACUAUAACGGUCCUAAGGUAGCGAAAUUCCUUGUCGGGUAAGUUCCGACCUGCACGAAUGGCGUAAUGAUGGCCAGGCUGUCUCCACCCGAGACUCAGUGAAAUUGAACUCGCUGUGAAGAUGCAGUGUACCCGCGGCAAGACGGAAAGACCCCGUGAACCUUUACUAUAGCUUGACACUGAACAUUGAGCCUUGAUGUGUAGGAUAGGUGGGAGGCUUUGAAGUGUGGACGCCAGUCUGCAUGGAGCCGACCUUGAAAUACCACCCUUUAAUGUUUGAUGUUCUAACGUGGACCCGUAAUCCGGGUUGCGGACAGUGUCUGGUGGGUAGUUUGACUGGGGCGGUCUCCUCCUAAAGAGUAACGGAGGAGCACGAAGGUUGGCUAAUCCUGGUCGGACAUCAGGAGGUUAGUGCAAUGGCAUAAGCCAGCUUGACUGCGAGCGUGACGGCGCGAGCAGGUGCGAAAGCAGGUCAUAGUGAUCCGGUGGUUCUGAAUGGAAGGGCCAUCGCUCAACGGAUAAAAGGUACUCCGGGGAUAACAGGCUGAUACCGCCCAAGAGUUCAUAUCGACGGCGGUGUUUGGCACCUCGAUGUCGGCUCAUCACAUCCUGGGGCUGAAGUAGGUCCCAAGGGUAUGGCUGUUCGCCAUUUAAAGUGGUACGCGAGCUGGGUUUAGAACGUCGUGAGACAGUUCGGUCCCUAUCUGCCGUGGGCGCUGGAGAACUGAGGGGGGCUGCUCCUAGUACGAGAGGACCGGAGUGGACGCAUCACUGGUGUUCGGGUUGUCAUGCCAAUGGCACUGCCCGGUAGCUAAAUGCGGAAGAGAUAAGUGCUGAAAGCAUCUAAGCACGAAACUUGCCCCGA